UACAGAGGGGGCUAGCGUUGUUCGGAAUUACUGGGCGUAAAGCGUGCGCAGGCGGUUUUGUAAGUCUGUCGUGAAAUCCUCGGGCUCAACCUGAGAAUUGCGAUGGAGACUGCAAGGCUAGAAUCUGGCAGAGGGGGGUAGAAUUCCACGUGUAGCAGUGAAAUGCGUAGAGAUGUGGAGGAACACCGAUGGCGAAGGCAGCCCCCUGGGUCAAGAUUGACGCUCAUGCACGAAAGCGUGGGGAGCAAACAGG
rnacentral:rRNA from 1 species